rnacentral:rRNA from 1 species
AUUGAACGCUGGCGGCAUGCCUUACACAUGCAAGUCGAACGGUAACGCGGGGCAACCUGGCGACGAGUGGCGAACGGGUGAGUAAUGCAUCGGAACGUGCCCAGUAGUGGGGGAUAGCCCGGCGAAAGCCGGAUUAAUACCGCAUACGACCUACGGGUGAAAGCGGGGGACCGUAAGGCCUCGCGCUAUUGGAGCGGCCGAUGUCAGAUUAGGUUGUUGGUGGGGUAAAGGCCUACCAAGCCGGCGACCUGUAGCUGGUCUGAGAGGACGACCAGCCACACUGGGCCUGAGACACGGCCCAGACUCCUACGGGAGGCAGCAGUGGGGAAUUUUGGACAAUGGGGGCAACCCUGAUCCAGCCAUGCCGCGUGCGGGAAGAAGGCCUUCGGGUUGUAAACCGCUUUUGUCAGGGAAGAAACGCUCUGGGCUAAUACCCUGGGGUAAUGACGGUACCUGAAGAAUAAGCACCGGCUAACUACGUGCCAGCAGCCGCCGUAA